rnacentral:rRNA from 1 species
AUUGAACGCUGGCGGCAUGCUUUACACAUGCAAGUCGAACGGUAACAGGCCGCAAGGUGCUGACGAGUGGCGAACGGGUGGGUAAUGCAUCGGAACGUGCCCAGCCGUGGGGGAUAACUACUCGAAAGAGUAGCUAAUACCGCAUACGAUCUAUGGAUGAAAGCGGGGGACCGUAAGGCCUCGCGCGAUCGGGGCGGCCGAUGUCAGAUUAGGUAGUUGGUGGGGUAAAGGCUCACCAAGCCAACGAUCUGUAGCUGGUCUGAGAGGACGACCAGCCACACUGGGACUGAGACACGGCCCAGACUCCUACGGGAGGCAGCAGUGGGGAAUUUUGGACAAUGGGCGCAAGCCUGAUCCAGCAAUGCCGCGUGCAGGAAGAAGGCCUUCGGGUUGUAAACUGCUUUUGUACGGAACGAAACGGCUCUGGUUAAUACCCGGGGCUAAUGACGGUACCGUAAGAAUAAGCACCGGCUAACUACGUG